rnacentral:rRNA from 1 species
CACGUAGGGUGCGAGCGUUGUCCGGAAUUAUUGGGCGUAAAGGGCUCGUAGGCGGUCUGUUGCGUCGAAAGUGAAAUCCCGAUGCUCAACAUCGGGCCUGCUUUCGAUACGGGCAGACUAGAGGUAGGCAGGGGAGAAUGGAAUACCUGGUGUAGCGGUGGAAUGCGCAGAUAUCAGGUGGAACACCGGUGGCGAAGGCGGUUCUCUGGGCCUUACCUGACGCUGAGGAGCGAAAGCGUGGGGAGCGAACAGG